rnacentral:lncRNA from 1 species
GAGGUAUGGCUGGGUCAAAUGGAACCUCUAGUUUUAGUUUUUUGAGAAAUCUCAAAAAGGGCAUUAUGGAGUGGAGAUAUUUUCUGGGGCCAGAAAAUCCAAUUAGAAACUGGGAAAAGAUAUGAAGACCCAAGAAAUAAGCACAUGAAGUAAUGUGACACCGUAAGACAAGCCCAUGGGAAAAUACUCAGGGCCAGAGCUCAGGGAGAAAGUGACAAUGCACCAUGGGGGGCCACUAAGCAGCAGUGUUCUGGGCUCCAGAAACACAGAGCCAGAUCCUGGGCCUGCUGUGCCCAAGCCUGGCAGGUGGCCAGACAGGAGCCACAGCUUCAUGUACCACUUCCAGUGGACACAGUCGCCCACACAGCCUGAGACAGGCUGCCCACGUCUGACUCACAAUUCGCCCUGGCCCUCAGGACCACAAGAAAAAGUGAAGUUGCCCCCACCACCAAGGACAGGGUAAGGGGCCACAUGCCCAUGCUAGCUGGGCCUUCGAGGUUGGGCGUGGGUGUGUGUGCCCACUUGCUGCAAUACACGCCCACCCUGGUGUUUAAGUCAGACUGGAGACUAAGAUGUCACUGAAGUCGAGGGUUCAUUGAGCUGUACAUAUGCUGGCCAAAAGAUGAAGGGCCAGUCCUGGGACAAAUUCCCUAAGCCACCAGUGGUAUGGCCGGACAGGAGAACUAAGAGGCCAGGGUGUUUUAUAGGAACCUGUUGAGGAGAAGAAAUACACUGAGGCACCAUUGUUGUGGCUAAAUAGGGCAGGACCAUGAGAAGUGGCCAGAGUCCUGGGUCAGAGGUGAGUCCACAAAGGGGUGUCCUUCCUGCUUCUGUGUUGGUGGUUUCUGAAAGCAGCAGUCACUCCAGGGGGGGGGAUCUUCAGCAUACAGGAAAGGAAUGUGGCAUAGCAGGGUUUUUCUUUUUUCUUUGUUGAUUUAGCUAAAGCUGUGAGUUAAAAGGCCUUCCCUUAUCUCCUUCCUCCACUCUGGCCUGGAACUUAACUUGGGACAUCUCAAGAUUUUUCUCUUAUCACAGGUAGCCCAGACAUUGAGGCGUCUGCUGAGAGCAACCGACUGCCCUGAACUGGAGCCUUUUGUUCACUCCUCUGCUAGGAUAUGAGGUCCUGAAAUUCUUUCCUGUCCCAGUGUCAAGAACUUACCCCCUGGGACCCCAUCCAGUGAGGAUCCAUCCAGGAGAGAGAGUUUUCCAAGUUGCUCAGUCUGGCGGAUAACAAAGCACCAGAGCUGAUGUGGACCAGUUUGAAGGCAUCCUCUCCAGGCUGGAUUCCCUGCAGGGAAGGCUUCUGCCCAGCAAGCUCCCACCUACUUUGCAGGCACCACGACCAGCCUAUCUGGUGACCCUCAGCCCUUUAGAGCUGCUGCAUGGACAGGAGAGCUGAGGCUACACCUGGCCCAUUCCCUUGCAGGCAUUCUGUCUUGUAUGUUGGCCCAUUUGUCCAGCCUAACAUUUUCUUCUGAGAAUUUUGUGGGCUAAUUUGAUGAUCUGGAAGCUGCACUUCAGAAGAGCAGGGUUUAAGAACCCUGUGUUAACACCUGGCUUCCUCCCUGAGGUAAUGCACUGGGCUGCCCUAGGGUCAUACUUCUUGUCUUCUGGGUCUUUCCCCUGGUGCAUCUGCCACUGUUACCAUGUUUGUCUACAACUUGUUUUCAGCUGAUUCUUUCCUUUCCGUAUUAUUUUUGCCUCACAUAAAAUUCAUCAGUUCUGUCCCCUUCCCCACAUGACUGUACUGCCACACACUCACAGGACUUUGGUAGUGAGGGGUUUUUUUUUUGGUGGGGGUUCUCCCUUUCUAGUAAGUUCUCCAACUAAUUCUUUUUA